rnacentral:rRNA from 1 species
UACGAAGGGUGCAAACGUUGCUCGGAAUCAUUGGGCGUAAAGCGCACGUAGGCGGCUUGCCAAGUCGGAUGUGAAAUCCCUCAGCUCAACUGAGGACGUGCAUCCGAAACUGGCGAGCUUGAGUACUGAAGAGGAUCGCGGAAUUCCCGGUGUAGAGGUGAAAUUCGUAGAUAUCGGGAGGAACACCAGUGGCGAAGGCGGCGAUCUGGGCAGAUACUGACGCUGAGGUGCGAAAGCGUGGGGAGCAAACAGG